rnacentral:rRNA from 1 species
GAUGAACGCUGGCGGCGUGCCUAAUACAUGCAAGUCGAGCGAACGGACGAGAAGCUUGCUUUUCUGAUGUUAGCGGCGGACGGGUGAGUAACACGUGGAUAACCUACCUAUAAGACUGGGAUAACUUCGGGAAACCGGAGCUAAUACCGGAUAAUAUUUUGAACCGCAUGGUUCAAAAGUGAAAGUCGGUCUUGCUGUCACUUAUAGAUGGAUCCGCGCUGCAUUAGCUAGUUGGUAAGGUAACGGCUUACCAAGGCAACGAUGCAUAGCCGACCUGAGAGGGUGAUCGGCCACACUGGAACUGAGACACGGUCCAGACUCCUACGGGAGGCAGCAGUAGGGAAUCUUCCGCAAUGGGCGAAAGCCUGACGGAGCAACGCCGCGUGAGUGAUGAAGGUCUUCGGAUCGUAAAACUCUGUUAUUAGGGAAGAACAUAUGUGUAAGUAACUGUGCACAUCUUGACGGUACCUAAUCAGAAAGCCACGGUUAACUACGUG